rnacentral:rRNA from 1 species
AAUGCGCGAAUUCGCCCUUCUGGUCAUUUAGAGGAAGUAAAAGUCGUAACAAGGUUUCCUUCCCCCUAUGAAGCCUUUCGCAGCGACUUGAUAAAUAACUGCGUAGCCUGCUUUGCAGCCACACCACGAAAGUGCUAGGACUUGAUUAACUUCGAGUACCAGCAGCCAGAGUUCUAGGUCCACAGAUCAUGUAGUGGUGGUCAUUUAUGAUUGAGAAUGACCGGUCUUAACUAAUUCUAGUUAAGAAUCAACGUUCCGUAGGUGACCUGCGGAAGGAUCAUUAUUGAAAAAGGGAACCCUUCGGGGUUCAACCUAAACCCUUUGUCUUAAUUACCUGUUUCUUUGGCGGGCUUGCCCGUCAGAGUUUUCUCAAACCCAUUAUAAAUGUGUCAUCUGAAUAACAAAAUAAAUCAAACUUUCAACAACGGAUCUCUUGGUUCUGGCAUCGAUGAAGAACGCAGGAAAUGCGAUAAGUAAUGUGAAUUGCAGAAUUCAGUGAAUCAUCGAAUCUUGAACGCAUAUUGCGCCCUUUGGCAUUCCGAAGGGCAUACCUGUUCGACGUCAUUACACCCCUCAAGUCAAACUUUUCGGUUAACUUGGUGUUGGGCUUGCCGGAAGGCAUGCCUAAAAAUUAGCGAUGGUACGUUAAACCACGGAGCACAAAUGUCGUUACGUAGGGGGCACGGCACCAGCCUAAUAAUUAAUUCUCAAUGUUGACCUCGGAUCAGGUAGGAAUACCCGCUGAACUUAAGCAUUCAAUAAGCGGAGGA